GGGCCCGUCGUCUAGUGGUUAGGAUAGCUAAGGCCCUAAGGCCGCCCUCACGAGGCGGAGGUCCGGGGUUCGAAUCCCCGCGGGCCCA
rnacentral:tRNA from 1 species